UGAAGAUAUGGAUGGGAAGCCAUCGUUUAUUGCACCCCCUAUUUGGGAAAGAUGCUUCCACACUAAAUUCACGCCAGGGGACACCCUUGGAGAAGGUGGCUUUGGGCGGGUUUCUACCAUGGCAUCAGAUGACACGCUCUGCAUAAAAUAUAUCCCAAAAUUGACAGCACUGUACAAGGAGGCUGUGCUGAUGGAUAUCAUUCACCUUACCAGUCUGUUCAAGCCCCAUGGUGCGUCCAAUAAGGUUCUACAGAUGAUGUUUGCGUGUGUAGAAUGCCAAUGCAUCGUGCUUCCAAAAAUGAGAUGUUCUUUGGAUACCUACAGAGAGUGGUCUCCAAACAGUGUUGCUGACACCUUAAGUGGCUUCAGAGGGUUAAUUGAUGGACUGUUGUAUCUAAACUUUACAUGUGGUAUAACACACUGCGAUGUUAGCCCUUCCAAUAUCCUUAUUGGGGCAGGAGGACUUUCAGACAUGGUAUUAUCUGACCUUGGAAUUGCAACAAUUAUAUGUGCGCCCGGCAUGCCUGGAGAAAUACCAAUAUUUUCAAAAAUGCUUGGAAGAGUCACUAACCUAUAUUCAUCAUCAUGUCCCAUGUUUUUUGCCAAAAGAGACUAUAGACCUUCCACCUGCCUGUUUUUGUGUUAUAAGGCCAUAAAGGAGCAAAAAGCUGCAGAAUCCAUUCCAAUGUACUGGAGGACACCACAGGAGGGACUAAGAUUGGACUUGUGCUGUCUUUAUUAUUCCUUUCAGGACUGUCUACUUUGCAUGGCCGGACUUCAAUACAGGGGGCUGGACUUUCUCAAGGUUUCUCCGCCCCCUCCUGACAGGCCUGGGAAAUAUUUAGCUUACAUGAUGCAAAGAACUGUUGUGACUCAGUUCAUAUGUGGAGUCUGGGGCUUGUCUGUUGAAACAGGCUUAGACAUCGACGGAGGAAGCAGCAACAUCCACAUUCCAAGAACUCAUCGGUCAUAUUUUAAAGCUGUGGCAGAAAAGGCUCUGUGUUUGGUACGGCAGCAGUUCACUCCAGAGAAAAGGGUAACAAUUUUAUCUGAAAGUGUUCAAGCUUUCGUUGUGCCUUUUCUAAGAUUGGACUCCUUUAAUCACUGCCAUGGAAGGGUCGAUUAUUCUGGAUUUUUUUGAAAAGGAUGAUUUGUUGGAAGUUCUGGGAAACAUGGCCCGGGAAAAUCAACUAGAAUCACUGGCAACUCUUAAUUUUUCUGCAUUUAUAAGAUCACCCCAAGUUCAAGAGCUCCUGGCAACAUCAAAGACUUCUGUACGUAUUUCUGAUAUGAGGUUGACGUACUAUUACUUUCUGUUUCUCAGACUUAAUGAAUAUAUUGGGAAUACUGCCAUAAUGGGCGUUUUUAAGGACAUGAUGCACCUGACAGACAACAGUGAGGUGUCUGCCGUGUAUGCUGCGUGUCGGGACGUGACCCCAGAUAUAAAGUAUGCAGUGUGCCAGAGAAUAGAAGCCCUGACUAGGGGACAGCAGGAUAAUGAACUAUGGGACAUUCUGCGUGACGGCAUGAUCUCAUCAUCUAAAUUUCAGUGGGCUGUAAAACAACAUAGCAUCAACAAGAAACUGUUUAAUCCACAGCCUAUAAAGGUUAAUCACUAUUUUGCUGGUCCUCUAGCCUUUGGGAUAAGAUGUGAACAAACUGUUAAAAAAAUUUUGAGUGAGCUUAUUCAUCCAAACUUGCCAAGAUUUCAUGAUUGUGGAUUUUUGCCCAGUGCAAUUGAUGGAAUUUUUGGAGUUUCCCUGGACACUGCUUUCAAUGUGUUUACAGAUAGCAGCGGACUUGUGCACUUUGAACCAGAUAGUAUUGUGUAUGAAAUAAAGUCCAGAUAUAAGUACCAGUUUUCAAAAUCUGAAUUUGAUGGUCUGGCCAAGAAAUAUUUGGAUCUCUACAAAAACCCCUGUGAGGCAACUUUUAUCAAGUUCAUAAACUGUAUUUCAAGACCCGCUGUUGAAUAUGUUCCACAUGGAAAACUUCCCUCAGAAAGUGACUAUCUAAUCACCCACUCCAUGAACUGGAAAACCAGCAACAAGAGAAAGCGCAAAAUCACUGAUAGUCAUAUCUGUCUUAAAAAAUGUCUACUUCACAACAUGUAUCAACAAUCAACAGUUUAUAUCUUGUCAGACCCCUCUGAGACUUCUGGAAAAAUCACCAUUAAGGCAUCUUUUCCCAUAGAUGUAUUUGUGAAUCCUGCACACAACUACUUUUACCAGGUGGCGCUCCAAAAUAUGGUUGUUCAAGAUUACAUUGAAUUUGGUCAGGGUGUAUAUAAAAGACUAGGCCAUCAGAAGAAUUUCAUAGCAUCUGGAUUUUUCAGAAAGAGACACUUUUCUGAUCCUGCUGUUUGCUCCAUUGGUAAUUGUGGAAAGUUGGAUACUACAGACGAGAUACCAGUGGCGCUCAUCAUCACUCCUGUUAGGAUUCCAUCUACUGUGCUGCACGAGUACCUCAAGAAAGCAAUUGAUUUUUGGAAUCAGUGUGCUGAGGCAAACUUUGACCAUAUCCCAUGGGGGCAGCUUUCGGAUGUUGCAAGAAAACCCAUAACCCCCUAAAAGAUGUAAGGGGACAACUCAUUGACCUGACAAAGGACUUUGAACUAAUUUCUGAAAACACUGGACUUUUGGUUGAAGACCCCUCUGUUGGUGAGGGGCAUUUAGAGCUUAAACCCAAACCUUAUGGGUCAGACACUGACAGUGAUACAGACAUUGAAUAUGAACGAGGCAAACACGCUUAAUUUGCUUUAAUUACUUUAAUAAAAUGUUUAUAGUUCAUCUUC
rnacentral:tmRNA from 1 species